rnacentral:RNase_P_RNA from 1 species
UCGGAUUAUCGCGCCCUUGUUGGGUGAGGAAAGUCCGUGCAUCCAAGGACAGGUCGCCGGAGAAACUCCGGACGGUGUGAGCCGGUGGAAUAGGGCCACAGAAAGAUACAGCCGAUGGAUUCAAUCACAGGCAAAGGUGCAAUGGUGAGGUAAGAGCAUCACCGUCGAUAUUGAGAAAUAUCGUUCAGGUAACCCCCGACCGGAUGCAAGAUACAACAAGCGCUAAAAGGUGUCCGCCAAGCUUGAAAAUCGCUAGAGAUUGGGAGUAAUCCCAAUACCAGACAGAUGAUAAUCUAAAACAGAACACGGCUUACGGGCUGCUUUA